rnacentral:piRNA from 1 species
UCUCCUCAACAGUGUCUGAAGUGG